ACAUUUACAUUAUAAAUACGGCAGACUGAUAUGUUUUCAUUAUCUUGUCUCGCAGAGUGGCAGCCAUCAGCAGACAGGAUGAAACGAUACAGGCUUUCUAACUUUCCUUUGCUGAUAUGCUGUUUCAUACUUUCAAAUUCAAGAUACGCAGCAUCGCUUGAGUGUUACAGCUGUUCCAACAUUGAGGAUAUAAACAAUUGUACCCACACUGUGCAGUGCAGCGCCGGUCAC
rnacentral:lncRNA from 1 species